CGAGCGGACAGAUGGGAGCUUGCUCCCUGAUGUCAGCGGCGGACGGGUGAGUAACACGUGGGUAACCUGCCUGUAAGACUGGGAUAACUCCGGGAAACCGGGGCUAAUACCGGAUGCUUGAUUGAACCGCAUGGUUCAAUUAUAAAAGGUGGCUUUUAGCUACCACUUACAGAUGGACCCGCGGCGCAUUAGCUAGUUGGUGAGGUAACGGCUCACCAAGGCAACGAUGCGUAGCCGACCUGAGAGGGUGAUCGGCCACACUGGGACUGAGACACGGCCCAGACUCCUACGGGAGGCAGCAGUAGGGAAUCUUCCGCAAUGGACGAAAGUCUGACGGAGCAACGCCGCGUGAGUGAUGAAGGUUUUCGGAUCGUAAAACUCUGUUGUUAGGGAAGAACAAGUACCGUUCGAAUAGGGCGGUACCUUGACGGUACCUAACCAGAAAGCCACGGCUAACUACGUGCCAGCAGCCGCGGUAAUACGUAGGUGGCAAGCGUUGUCCGGAAUUAUUGGGCGUAAAGCGCGCGCAGGCGGUUUCUUAAGUCUGAUGUGAAAGCCCCCGGCUCAACCGGGGAGGGUCAUUGGAAACUGGGGAACUUGAGUGCAGAAGAGGAGAGUGGAAUUCCACGUGUAGCGGUGAAAUGCGUAGAGAUGUGGAGGAACACCAGUGGCGAAGGCGACUCUCUGGUCUGUAACUGACGCUGAGGCGCGAAAGCGUGGGGAGCGAACAGGA
rnacentral:rRNA from 1 species